GAGUCCCUAUUUAUAGAAAAUGGGGACCAUUGUAUUUGUGCCAAGUGGCAAAAUUCGAUGAGGAGAGAGAGUUAAGUGGAAGAUGAGUGAUUUAAAGCGAUGCGACGACGGCAUAAAAAACAGAGGAGGAAUCCUCAACCGGCAAUGACUCUCCAACCAAGGUGGCGACGCACUGCCCUAGAUGGCAGUGCGCCUCACCAAGCCAACUACGUGCUGCAGGCCUAGCCUACAGGCACCGGCUUACCCUACAGCGCACAGAGCCUGCAGCGCGCAAGGCGCUUCACACAGGCCUACUGCGCAUAGACCCAAGUGCACAGACCUAUCCACUUCGGCCUACUGCACGGACGGUGCGCACACAGGGUGUGUAGCGCUUGGCCCUAUUGGCGCGCGAUGUAACAU
rnacentral:lncRNA from 1 species